UAAUACGUUAAGGCUUCAGUAUUUUCUGUUUCAGAUUACGUAUCUUGGCGACACACGGGAAAGGGAACAUGGUUUGUUCAAUCCAUUGUCGAUACAUUUUAUCGUGAAGCACACAAAUAUGACGUUUUACAAAUGUUGGUGAAUGUCAAUCACGCGAUCUCUCAAAAGCAAACAAUAGAGGGCAACAAACAGGCACCAGAGAUAGUUACCAGCUUACGAAAGAAAGUUUUCUUCAACAUAUCUCCAGGUAAGCAAAAAGAGUCGCAUCUUCCCGAGGUGUAUUCGGCCGAAUAAUAAAGACUCGAGAUCAAAAGUAAGCAAAAACAACGAACCUGGAACGUGUUAAGGUGAAGAAGAGUCAGUCCAAGACCAAAACUAAAGACAACUGUCGAUGGUUUCAUGCACAGAGAGCCCGCAAACGAAGUACACACACUGGACAAUAGAAGUGUCACCCCCUAAAUCAGAGUAAUAAAAGUAGGCAGAUCUUCGGUACUUAUAA